AGUGGGGAAUAUUGCACAAUGGAGGGAACUCUGAUGCAGCAACGCCGCGUGGAGGAUGACACAUUUCGGUGCGUAAACUCCUUUUAUAUGAGAAGAUAAUGACGGUAUCAUAUGAAUAAGCACCGGCUAACUCCGUGCCAGCAGCCGCGGUAAUACGGGGGGUGCAAGCGUUACUCGGAAUCACUGGGCGUAAAGAGCAUGUAGGCUGUAGAUUAAGUUGGAAGUGAAAUCCUAUGGCUCAACCAUAGAACUGCUUCCAAAACUGAUUUGCUAGAGUAUGGGAGAGGUAGAUGGAAUUUCUGGUGUAGGGGUAAAAUCCGUAGAGAUCAGAAGGAAUACCGAUUGCGAAGGCGAUCUACUGGAACAUUACUGACGCUGAGAUGCGAAAGCGUGGGGAGCAAACAGGAUUAGAUACCCUGGUAGUCCACGCCCUAAACGAUGCACACUAGUUGUUGCUAUGCUCGACAUAGCAGUAAUGCAGUUAACACAGUAAGUGUGCCGCCUGGGGAGUACGGUCGCAAGAUUAAAACUCAAAGGAAUAGACGGGGACCCGCACAAGCGGUGGAGCAUGUGGUUUAAUUCGACGAUACGCGAAGAACCUUACCUGGCCUUGACAUAGUAAGAAUUUUCCAGAGACGGAAAAGUGCUAGUUUACUAGAACUUACAUACAGGUGCUGCACGGCUGUCGUCAGCUCGUGUCGUGAGAUGUUGGGUUAAGUCCCGCAACGAGCGCAACCCUCGUGUUUAGUUACUAACAGUUCGGCUGAGGACUCUAAACAGACUGCCUGGGUAACCAGGAGGAAGGUGAGGACGACGUCAAGUCAUCAUGGCCCUUACGGCCAGGGCUACACACGUGCUACAAUGGGGUAUACAAAGAGCCGCGAUACCGUGAGGUGGAGCAAAUCUCAUAAAAUAUCUCCCAGUUCGGAUUGAAGUCUGCAACUCGACUUCAUGAAGUUGGAAUCGCUAGUAAUCGUAGAUCAGCAAUGCUACGGUGAAUACGU
rnacentral:rRNA from 1 species